rnacentral:rRNA from 1 species
GACGAACGCUGGCGGCGUGCUUAACACAUGCAAGUCGAGCGGUAAGGCCCCUUCGGGGGUACACGAGCGGCGAACGGGUGAGUAACACGUGAGUAACCUGCCCCUGACUCUGGGAUAAGC